rnacentral:lncRNA from 13 species
UUCGUUGACUCCUGAGGCACACAGGUUGCUAGGAAAUGGACUCAGAAUUCAUGCUUGAAGAAAUGCAAGCAGACCUGUUAUCCCAAAAACUAGAAUUUUUAAUGACCACAGCAAGCAAGCAUGCAGUUUCCCCUUGAAAGGGUCUUGCCUCAUCCAGGCUGGAGUGCCAUGGCUCUUUGAGGCUCACUACAACCUCAAACUCCUGGACUCAAGUGAUCCUCCACCUCCCAG